rnacentral:rRNA from 1 species
AUUGAACGCUGGCGGCAGGCUUAACACAUGCAAGUCGAGCGGAGAUGAGGUGCUUGCACCUUAUCUUAGCGGCGGACGGGUGAGUAAUGCUUAGGAAUCUGCUUAUUAGUGGGGGACAACAUUCCGAAAGGAAUGCUAAUACCGCAUACGUCCUACGGGAGAAAGCAGGGGAUCUUCGGACCUUGCGCUAAUAGAUGAGCCUAAGUCGGAUUAGCUAGUGUGUGGGGUAAAGGCCUACCAAGGCGACGAUCUGUAGCGGGUCUGAGAGGAUGAUCCGCCACACUGGGACUGAGACACGGCCAGACUCCUACGGGAGGCAGCAGUGGGGAAUAUUGGACAAUGGGGGGAACCCUGAUCCAGCCAUGCCGCGUGUGUGAAGAAGGCCUUAUGGUUGUAAAGCACUUUAAGCGAGGAGGAGGCUACUGAGACUAAUACUCUUGGAUAGUGGACGUUACUCGCAGAAUAAGCACCGGCUAACUCUGUGCCAGCCGCCGCGGUAAUAC